AGUAUGUCUUUAUUAGCAGCAUAAGAACAAAAUAAAACAGAUGGAGAUGAAUCCUAUGAAGGCUAACUACAAGAUAAGAGGUUAGAGAGUAAAUGAGGAGGGGUAGAGUGGCUACAUAAUAGAAAAUGGUCCAUAAAUGCCUCUAGCAUUAGGUGAUAAUUAACUAAAACCUGGAUGAGUUGUGGAGGCAAGCCGUGCAGAUAUCUAGGAGAUAAUAAUUUCCUGAAGGGUAAUCAGGAAGUGUGAGCAUUCUGAGGUAGAGUAUGCCUAACAAAUGUCUUAUAAGACAGCAUAAGAAGGCUAGUGGGUCUGGAGUUCAGUGAAUGAGGAGACAAUGUUGAAUUCCCUGUGUCCUGGAAGUGAUCUUUCUUUCCAGAAUCCUUCUUCAAGGAAACUCAACUUCCACUUCUUUUUGGAAAAAGGGUGCAAAGGAAGGUACUUUGGAAUGAUAUCAUCACAGGAGGAACAUGGAAGUUCUACAGCACAUCUCUUUGGAGAGUAUCUAGGCAUGGAGAUUUUAAUGACCCAGAGCAGUAGAAGACAGAGUUGAAUUAUUUCAUUGUCCUCAAACAUCAUGCAUAGGUGUCUACUGGAGACAUCACAUACCAAGUGGCUUUGCUUGAUCAAUGCCUGAAACCAGGACAUGCCAACCAGUAUUGCUCAACACUUGCAGGCAUGGAAAUGAGAUGAUGAGAGAUGGAUAACACCCACACACAGACUUUGGUUCUAUAUAAAACUUCAAGUGUUUAGAUUUGACUUCAGAGAAAAGAGUGUUGGGUUAAAUUAAGUCUCAGCCACUCCAGCAGCAAAGAGUUUUAAAUUUAUGUAUGGCAAACAUCAAGAGGAAGAUCUACAUGCUAGAAGUGAGUGACCAGAAGAUGAAAUGACUGUUAUUUUCUGGCUCAGAGGCGGAAGGGAGUUUCCAUGAGACUUUUGACUUCGACUUUUGAAUGGUGAUAUGAGUUAAGACUUUGGGAGACAUUUUUGGAAGGCAUAAUCAUGUUUUGAAAUGUGAGAAGGACAUGGGGUUUGGGAAGGGCUAGAAGUGUAAUGAUAUAGAUUGGCUCUGUGAUCCCACCUAAUGUUGAAUUGUGAUCCCGAGUAUUGGAGCUGGGGCUUGGUGAGAGGUGAUGGAUCACGGAUACAGAUUUUCUCUUUGCUGUUCUCAUGAGAUUGAGUGAUGUCUCAUGAAAUCUGAUUGUUUAAAAGUGUAUAGCACUUCUCUCUUUACUCUCUCUCUUCUGCCAUGAUGUGAAUAUGUUCUUGCUUCCCCUUCAUCCUUCUGUCAUAAUAAGUUUCUGGAGGCCUCCCCAGCCAUGCUUCCUUUAUAGCCUGUAGAACUGUGAGUCAAUUAAACUUUUCUUCUUUAUAAAUUACCCAGUCUCAGGUAGGUUUUUAUAGCAAUGUGAGAACAGACUAAUAUACUUACCAAACAGCACUGAUUUUCUGUGUUACUGUAAAGCAGCUCUAAGAACAGAAACUCCAGUUCUUGAUGGGGGGUGGGGUGAGUAUUACUUUAAGGAGAAUACUAAGAUUUAUGAUUUGGCCAUAGAAGAUACAGAGCCCUUUCCUUGAGAGAAUAUCUAAAGUUCCUAAGACUAGAUCAAAUGAUGUCCCACUGAGAGGUAAAGUGAUAUAUAUGCAUAUUCUUUAAAAGUAGUACUCUGGAAAUGUGAGAAAGAUUGAGAAAAGAGCUAUCCUGGUUAUGUAGAUAGAGAAGUUUAGUUAAUAAUGGAUACUCUUCUAAGGAACUAUAUCAGAGACCUAGAAAUAUAAGGAGAAAGGAGCAGAAUCAGCGUACACAGAUUACAGGAGAUGACAAGGGGAGAAAGUAAAGUAGAGACUUUCAUUUUUGGUCCUGUAGAAUGAAGCUGUGUAUGCCAUGGCUUUUUUACUAUAUCCAAAAAUGAAAUAUUACAGGAGUUUUAAAAAAACUCUCCUAUAGCAGGAAACCAAUGUCAUGGAGAAGACAUCCUAAGGAUGCAGAGUGCAUGACUGGAGACUAAGAUGGAAGAACAAACCUUGAUUGUGUGGAAAAUAUAUCCGGCAUUCUUCAGUAAUGAAAAAUGCAGUGAAAUCAUCACCAGUACUCUUUCUGGGACUCCUAAUGAAGAUGUACUCAUCUUGCAUGCCCACUCUGCUCUGAGCCCAGGAGAUUGACCCACAUUUUUAACUUUUGGUUGGUUUACCGGGUGCAGUCAUCGCCAGGAGACUGGAAAGCUAGCUACAGGACAGAGUGGUUAGGGUGCUACACUCUCUUGCUUUCUCCCUGUAAAGUCACAAUAGGUUGGCUUCUUUCUUGCUCAAAGACCACAAAUUUUAUUGGGUUGUUUUCUUCAACAGCCAUCAUCUCUGGGAAUCAUACUGUUCUUCCUCACCUAGAGAUAGGAUGAGCUUUCCACAACCUUAAAUAUUAGAGAUGCUACACAUACUGUGUUAUUUGUUAAAUGUGCAGGAAUAAAUAUUCUGGAGACCUAGAAUGAAUAAAAAAUUCUGGUAACCCCAGUGGAAAAUCACCAGUGUCUAAGAAAUUUUGGAGAUAUGUAGAAUGUACUUGAAUGAUUAGAAUUAGAUUACCAUGAUUUAGUCCAAGAAAACAUCUGUAUCAAUGGUUCUUUGAAGAUAUUGGAAUGUAAUGGGAAGAACAUGCAGUUUUGACAGAAUGGCUACAUAAGAAUUAGAGAAGAACAGAGAUGGUAUUUAAGAGGUGCAUCUGCAAAACAGCGUUUGAUUUGUGAAUAAAAUGAAAUUUACUGUGUGAAAUUUGUGACCAGAGGAAAUAACCUUCCACGGAUUGAAUUGCUUAUUUUUAGCAGUACUGAGUGAAGCCAACUUUGGGAUUAAAUGAACCAGUCUCCUGAAUUAUUUGAAUUACCUUGGGUUACAAGUGGUUGUUGAAGCAACGGAUUUCUCUCCUCAACUCUUGGCACUAUUAGACUGGUUACUUAUUCAGAAUACUCAGAAUGUAGGAUCACAAAUCAAUAAUAUCCAGUCUUGUCAGUUGGGAGGAGAUAUGGGUAAUUUGUGUAAGAAAGCUAGAAAAUUUAGGAGGAAAAACAAAACAAAGGAAAUUCAUUAUGAAAGACUUCAACAUAAAGAUGAAAAAUGUCAAGUGAUAAAGCAAAGUAAUUAAGUUCUUAAAUAAUAUUGAUUCAAGUAAAGACGGCAUUUAAUCACUGAGAACCACAUCUAUGGCUGACAAUGUAGAAUACGGCUGAAUCUGGUUUGCCUGUUCCAUACAGAUCUCAAAGCCUCCAGAGACCUAAACCCACUGACACCAUAAUUGCUUUGAAGAACAAUGGAGAAAUCUGAAUGGGAAUAAAAGUGACAUAGUCUUAUAACCUAAGCAUGGGUUUUCAAUGAGUUUCUGCAUGGAUUUGGGUUCUGACCAUCUGAUAUCAUCUGUAGAGAGAAAGUAUCUUCUGACUGCAUAGGGUUAAGCAUAAAUAGUAAACCGAAGUGACUUCAAGGAAAAACAGUGGCAGCAUAAACUGAACGUACUCCAGUUUCUUCUACUGCUGUCUUCAGAAGUUGACUGAACCACUAAUCUUUAGAAUUGAGAGAGCUAUGAGUUCUUAGCCAUUUUGUAAGGAGUUGAACAGCUUCAUUAAAUACUGAUAGCGAUCAGAGGCAGCCAAAUCCCUAGCCAGAUAGGGGCAAGUAGCCUGUAAAACCCCACCUCCAAGCUGAAGACAGUUUGAAGCCUGUAAGCCAAGCUACAAAUUAAAUCCUUGGACCAGACUGAGAAGUUGUCUUCCUUUUUGGCAUGCAUCCCUCUGAUUUUUACCCCCUGCUUCACUCUAUUUUACAUAUACCUACCAUUUCCUAAUUGGAUUUCUACACUGUUGUGCCGACUUUUGAGUGGUGUCUUUGCUUUAACCUUUUUUGCAUACUAACAAACCAAUCAGAAUGCACUCCCCAUCCUGUGCCUAUAUAGACCUCAGACUCAGGUGGUGGAGGAGGAGAUGGCCUGACUUCGGGGAAGAGACAGCAUAACUUUGGGGAAGAUGACCUGCCUUUCCCAUCCUCUCUCCAGCUCCCCUCUCUGCUGACAGCCAUUUUCAUGGCUCAGUAAAAUUCUCUGCCUUCACCAUCCUUCAAUCAUCCAUGUGACCUCAUUAUUCUUGGACACUAGACAAGAGCUCGGGAACCACCAAGUGCACGUACCCAAGAAAGGCUGUCAAACUAGCCCUUUUCUCUAACUGGUGGAUGACAGCCACCCUAUGUGACAAGGCAAGAGGCCAACUGAGCUGCUAACAUGCCACUGUCCAUUGGACUGUGACACUAAAUAAGCACUGUAACACCCA
rnacentral:lncRNA from 10 species